rnacentral:misc_RNA from 1 species
GAAAUGCGAUAAGUAAUGUGAAUUGCAGAAUUCAGUGAAUCAUCGAAUCUUUGAACGCACCUUGCGCUCCUUGGUAUUCCUUGGAGCAUGCCUGUUUGAGUAUCAUGAAAUCUUCAAAGUAAAUCUUUUGUUAACUCAAUUGGUUUCUACUUUGGUAUUGGAGGUCUUUGCAGCUUCACACCUGCUCCUCUUUGUUCAUUAGCUGGAUCUCAGUGUUAUGCUUGGUUCCACUCGGCGUGAUAAGUUAUCUAUCGCCGAGGACACUGUAAAAGGUGGCCAAGGUAAAUGCAGAUGAACCGCUUCUAAUAGUCCAUUGACUUGGACAAUAUUUUUAUGAUCUGAUCUCAAAUCAGGUAGGACUACCCGCUGAACUUAAGC